rnacentral:rRNA from 1 species
CCUACGGGAGGCAGCAGUGGGGAAUAUUGCACAAUGGGGGAAACCCUGAUGCAGCGACGCCGCGUGAGUGAAGAAGUAAUUCGGUAUGUAAAGCUCUAUCAGCAGGGAAGAAAAAGACGGGAACUGGGUAAGGAACCCCGGCUAAAUACGGGCCAGCAGCCGCGGGAAUACGGAGGGGGCAAGCGUUAUCCGGAUUUACUGGGGGGAAAGGGAGCGGAGACGGCAGUGCAAGGCUGGAGUGAAAGGCGGGGGCUCAACCCCCGGACGGCUUUGGAAACUGCACGGCUGGGGUGCAGGAGAGGUAAGUGGAAUUCCUUGUGUAGCGGUGAAAUGCGUAGAUAUUAGGAGGAACACCAGUGGCGAAGGCGGCUUACUGGACUGUAACUGACGUUGAGGCUCGAACGCGUGGGGAGCAAACAGGAUUAGAUACCCGUGUAGUC